GGGCGCUCGGGUCUGGCGCGAUCGG
rnacentral:piRNA from 1 species